rnacentral:lncRNA from 1 species
UUGAUAUCGUUUUAGUCGUUAAACUAUUUAAAAGUGAAUAUAUAUAUAUACACACACACAAGACAACAAAUAGAGUAGAUUUAAUAGAUUUAAAGUACAAAAUACAUACUAACAUCAAAAAUUUUGUGGAGUGUCAUUGUCCCUCAUAGUCAUCGAGAUUGAAUCAUAAUUCGGGCUUGAAAGCAUGCUUGAAGCUUCCAAGAAGAUUGCCCCAGAUCCUUGCAUUCCAUAAUGUACGUUCUGUUGGAUAGCCACCCUGAUACUGAUCCUCUAUCUGAUACUAAGCUAGCCAACCAAAGAUCACGGCAAUGAAAUUUGACCCAUAAGUUAUCUGAUAUUGUGGAGAAAUCUAUCCACUCAAACAUGAUGCCUCAGACGAAGAAUAUCCAUAUGAGUCAUAACCUAG